rnacentral:rRNA from 1 species
AGGGUUUGAUCCUGGAUCAGGAUGAACGCUAGCGGCAGGCCUAACACAUGCAAGUCGAGGGGUAACAGGGGAGCUUGCUCUCGCUGACGACCGGCGCACGGGUGCGUAACGCGUAUACAAUCUACCUUUUGCUGAGGGAUAGCCCAGAGAAAUUUGGAUUAACACCUCAUAGUAUGUAUUAAUGGCAUCAUUAAUAUAUUAAAGGUUACGGCAAAAGAUGAGUAUGCGUUCUAUUAGCUAGAUGGUGUGGUAACGGCACACCAUGGCAACGAUAGAUAGGGGCCCUGAGAGGGGGAUCCCCCACACUGGUACUGAGACACGGACCAGACUCCUACGGGAGGCAGCAGUGAGGAAUAUUGGGCAAUGGAGGCAACUCUGACCCAGCCAUGCCGCGUGCAGGAAGACUGCCCUAUGGGUUGUAAACUGCUUUUAUACAGGAAGAAACACUCCCUCGUGAGGGAGCUUGACGGUACUGUAAGAAUAAGGAUCGGCUAACUCCGUGCCAGCAGCCGCGGUAAUACGGAGGAUCCAAGCGUUAUCCGGAAUCAUUGGGUUUAAAGGGUCCGUAGGUGGAUAAUUAAGUCAGAGGUGAAAUCCUGCAGCUCAACUGUAGAAUUGCCUUUGAUACUGGUUAUCUUGAGUUAUUAUGAAGUAGUUAGAAUAUGUAGUGUAGCGGUGAAAUGCAUAGAUAUUACAUAGAAUACCAAUUGCGAAGGCAGAUUACUAAUAAUAUACUGACACUGAUGGACGAAAGCGUGGGGAGCGAACAGGAUUAGAUACCCUGGUAGUCCACGCCGUAAACGAUGGUCACUAGCUGUUUGGACUUCGGUCUGAGUGGCUAAGCGAAAGUGAUAAGUGACCCACCUGGGGAGUACGUUCGCAAGAAUGAAACUCAAAGGAAUUGACGGGGGCCCGCACAA